rnacentral:misc_RNA from 1 species
GAUGAAGAACGUAGCGAAAUGCGAUAAGUAAUGCGAAUUGCAGAUUUCAGUGAAUCAUCGAAUCUUUGAACGCACAUUGCGCCCGCCAGUAUUCUGGCGGGCAUGCCUGUUCGAGCGUCAUUACAACCCUCAGGCCCCCGGGCCUGGCGUUGGGGAUCGGCGGAGCCCCCCGUGGGCACACGCCGUCCCCCAAAUGCAGUGGCGGUCCCGCCGCAGCUUCCAUCGCGUAGUAGCUAACACCUCGCGACUGGAGAGCGGCGCGGCCACGCCGUAAAACACCCAACUCUUCUGAAGUUGACCUCGAAUCAGGUAGGAAUACCCGCUGAACUUAAGCAUAUCAAUAAGCGGAGGA